UACGUAGGGUGCAAGCGUUAUCCGGAAUUAUUGGGCGUAAAGAGCUCGUAGGCGGUUUGUCGCGUCUGCUGUGAAAACUGGAGGCUCAACCUCCAGCCUGCAGUGGGUACGGGCAAACUAGAGUGCGGUAGGGGAGAUUGGAAUUCCUGGUGUAGCGGUGGAAUGCGCAGAUAUCAGGAGGAACACCAAUGGCGAAGGCAGAUCUCUGGGCCGUAACUGACGCUGAGGAGCGAAAGCAUGGGGAGCGAACAGG
rnacentral:rRNA from 1 species